rnacentral:lncRNA from 1 species
UAAGGGGACCCCAGGCAGUGGUGACCUCACUUCCCUGACAACAGAGCCCAACAGAAUUUGGAACCCCGGUAACCAGGCACCCACAUUCCACAGACAGCCCCCUGCCCAGCUCAUUUCAUUGGAGAUCUUAAUGGCAAAAUGUUCAUGUGUUGCCUGCCAAGGUCCCGAGGCUGCAGGCGGAAGAAAGGGAGCCCUGCAGACGCUGUCCCCCGCUGGGGAUUUCAUGUCAGGACUCCCCACCGCCUCUGGCCAUUUGGUCGGAAGGACAGAAAGCUGCUCCACCCUCUGAGGACCUAGAGCUGGCUCCAACUCCAUCAGCAGCUCUGGGGGGAGGGGUGGUGCCUACAGCGACUUCAGGAGCACACCAGGAGCCGGCAGGGCUCCCAGAGCCACAUCCAGAGCCCACAGCCCUGCAGGGAGAGCUCCUUGUACCAUCGCCGGACCCCGACGCCUCACCAGAGUGUUUCAUCCCCUUAGUUCCAUUGCCGGACCCUGACGCCUCAUCAGAGUGUUUCAUCCCCUCCCCCGAUGUUCUUUCUCUCUGGUUCAUAUUAACUGUUAUUUUAUCUUUUCAUGUUCUGUAUAC